UGGGGGAUAUUGCACAAUGGGCGAAAGCCUGAUGCAGCGACGCCGCGUGGGGGAUGAAGGCCUUCGGGUUGCAAACUUCUUUUGCUCUGAACAAGGCAUGCUAAUGGGUGUGUUGAGUGUAGGGGUUGAUUAGCGCCGGCUAACUACGUGCCAGCAGCCGCGGUAAUACGUAGGGCGCGAGCGUUGUCCGGAAUUAUUGGGCGUAAAGGGCUUGUAGGUGGCUGGUUGCGUCUGUCGUGAAAGCUCAUGGCUUAACUGUGGGUUUGCGGUGGGUACGGGCUGGCUUGAGUGCAGUAGGGGAGGCUGGAAUUCCUGGUGUAGCGGUGGAAUGCGCAGAUAUCAGGAGGAAUACCGGUGGCGAAGGCGGGUCUCUGGGCUGUUACUGACACUGAGGAGCGAAAGCAUGGGGAGCGAACAGG
rnacentral:rRNA from 1 species